rnacentral:lncRNA from 1 species
AUGCAGUGCCAAGGCCACUGUUGUGCUGCCUUUGGGGCUUGCCCACACUGCAGCACCUGCUUCCUGGGCAAGCAGAGGGACCUUGGCAGAGUCCCUCUGCUUCUGCCUCUGCUGCCUGGAGACCCCUGGGUGCUCCAUUACAAAGCAUAUUCCUGUUGCCAUAUCUCCAUCACCACGGUGAUGAUGAUGCUGAGCCAGGAACAAUGUGUGCCUCAGCUCACUGCACUCUGCAUCAGUGGGCCAGGAGAAGUGGAGCAGGACAAGAUCCUGAAAGGAACUCUGUUGAGAAUCCAGUUUUGGUAAUUUUGUGAUCCUACGCUAAGUGGACGUAAUACCAGACAAGCCUGCUCCUUCCAUCUCUGGACAAAAACGAAGACUUAGUAGUUACAGCACAAUGAUUCUGCACAUAAGCAACAACAACAAUGAAAGUUAUUCUCAUUAAAGUAAUAUUUAAGGCAUGAGAAAAUGAUAAAAUCCUCAACACUGGGGCAGAACACCAAAGGCUCACAGAAAUUACUUUUCGCCACCCUUCAGUUCCUAAAGGCCUUUGGACUCCUACCAUUUUGCUUAUAAAUCUUCACCUCCACUUAUCAAACAGGACGGAUCUAGCCUAUGGAGUAAGCAAUUGCUCAGAACUCGUUCUGCCUCUAAAGCUGUAACACCUAAAAAGCUGUCAUCAACGCUUGUCACCAAAUAUUCACUACACUCAGAGCUAGAAAUACAUUCAGCUUUAACAAGGGCCAGCAGCAGUUUGGGAACAUUUCUCUUGGCACAAAAGCACUUUUCCCCAGCAGCUGCAUAACCCGUGGUGUCAAAUAGUUUUUCCAGGCCCCAUGUUAAAGCCUGAAAAAUACAAUUCUGUUUUCCAUUAGUUUUGGUGCAUUGCUCCACUGUGCAGUGUUUCAGCCCUGCCUGCAGGAAGGUUGUGAGCAAGAGAUUUCAGUAAAAUUAAGACUUAAAGCCCGAGGGGUGAAGCAUAUAGCUAAAGGAUGUGACAAGGGAAUUAUAUACUCAAUAAAGAGAAAACCAAAACAAAAUUAAUUUCA